rnacentral:rRNA from 1 species
GAUGAACGCUGGCGGCGUGCCUAAUACAUGCCAGUCGAGCGAACAGACGAGGAGCUUGCUCCUCUGACGUUAGCGGCGGACGGGUGAGUAACACGUGGAUAACCUACCUAUAAGACUUGGAUAACUUCGGGAAACCGGAGCUAAUACCGGAUAACAUGUUGAACCGCAUGGUUCAACAGUGAAAGACGGUUUUGCUGUCACUUAUAGAUGGAUCCGCGUCGCAUUAGCUAGUUGGUAAAGUAACGGCUUACCAAGGCGACGAUGCGUAGCCGACCUGAGAGGAUGAUCGGCCACACUGGAACUGAGACACGGUCCAGACUCCUACGGGAGGCAGCAGUAGGGAAUCUUCCGCAAUGGGCGAAAGCCUGACGGAGCAACGCCGCGUGGGUGAAGAAGGUCUUCGGAUCGUAAAACUCUGUUAUUAGGAAAGAACAAAUGUGUAAGUAACUAUCCACGUCUUGACGGUACCUAAUCAGAAAGCCACGGCUAACUACGUG